AAAAUGACACAUUAACAAAUCGAAGAAAAUCUAUAUUAAAGUCAUGUUUCAUUAUUAGUCGGAUUUUUUUAAUGAAAAUUACAAGUGUGAAAAUUGAUACGUAUCCAAAUUAAAAUUAAGUAUUAAAAAUGUCAGUAAAUUAUUAAAUAUGAAGAUGAAAUAAAGAAAUUAUUAAGUUACCGUGUCUGCCAUACUGUUUUGUUGUGAAAUAAUUUUGGAACACAAUUUUUAGACACUGUUGAACAAAAGGAAAACACUGUAAAAAAAUUUUACGCAGUUGAUUUAUUUUUUACAAGGAAAUUGCCAUAAAUAUGCUAUUAAUAAUGUAUAUAAACUAUUGAAAUGGUUUUCGAAAGCAGUAUAAUUAUGAUUUUGUUUUUAAAUUAUAAGGACGAAAUUGCAGUGAACAUGGUUAUGCUGCUGUGAUGUUGGCUGUACUAUUUAAACGUCAAUCCGCGUCAUGAAGACGAAUCUUGUAAAAUUUUAUUUCUUUCAUACUGCAAGUUAUAAACACUAGGUGUACAUAAUUGAUAAAAAUGUUGACAUCAAUUUAAUACAGAUUGUGGGGUAGAAAAUGUUUUUAUGACUAUUCAAAGAUCCGUGUAAUAGAAAUACAAAUGAAAAAAUUCUGUAAUAAAAAUAUAGUUCAGUUCAGUUUACUAUAUUUAUAUAAUUUUGUAUUUUUUUUUAACCACUUUAAAUCCAGCUACAUUAUAACAG